CGCGUUCCCUGCAUCGGCAGGCGGACUCUCGACCACUGCGCCACCAGGGAAGCCCGUGGGUUACUUGACUUUUGCUCUCAGCCCCCGUUCCCCGCACUCGUGGCUUUAUCUGAAAGCUGCUCUCACACGGAGGCUCCUGUCCGUUCUCCUUCCACUCGCAGAAUUGUCCUUGUUGCCUUUUAUUUCUAUUUACUCCUGCCAUGGGUUUUCCUCUUCCAAGUCCUGCAGGAACACAACUUUCAGUGCCUGUGAUCUUCCUGGAGUGAAUUGUUUUGGAAUCAGAUACAUGGCUGGUGCCGAGAUCAAAUUUCAGGAGCUGCUAAAACCUCUUCCUAGGUACAGUGGCUGAACCCGCAGGCCUCCGGGCAAUGAUUGGUCCACUCUUAGCCAUCAGGGCUUCCUUUUUUUCCCGACGUGUGUACGUUUGUCUAAAACCUUUCCUUGCUACUGAGUGUACAAAGCAACCUGAAAAUCCAGGCCAGACGGUCCCUACAGGGGAACUUGAACUUUAGAGAGAAAUUGUGGAUGAAUCGACACACCUUCAUCCUGGCUUUGGUGCACUGUUUUUCAGACUGCAGGUCACGACCGGUGAGAAGGGUCUGAGAUGGAUUUGGGUGGAUGCGAUGGGAAUUGUUAAAAACCCAGUGGAUUGUAACAGCAGACGGCGCCACCUGCAGGAAGCAUCGGUGCUGUGUCAGGAAGCUCUGGGUGUGUGUGUGGGGGUGUGUGUGGGCGUGUGUGUGUGUCUGCAUGCCCAUGCGCACACACACAUGUGCUGGUUGUUAAUGGAUACUGUCUGUCAAAGGUGCUAGAGGGUAGCCACCCUGUGGGCGGAGACUUGAAAGAUGCAGAAACUACGACGGGGGAGUUUGGAUGGAAGAUGGUCUUGGUAAGCAAAGCCAUGAGCGGACAUCUGUAAGCCACAGGAAGCUUGCCCGAACGGCCCCCCGUGUCCAUCUCCCGUGGAGGAUUACGGAUCUGGGGACCCCGUCUCCCGGGUUUCCACGUCGAGUCGCCAGUAUUCAGCACCCACGAAGCCUGGUCAGGGGUCCUGUUCCUGGAUCCCAGGAUUCCCGCUCCUACAACUCGAUUUGUGUAACUGUCAGUUUUCUCUCUGGCUCUGUGGCUGGUGCAUGUGUCUUGGGAUGAGAGCGGCGGUGUUGAAAUUAGCAUCCUUUUCCAUCUUGCUAGGUUUCUGUGAUGAUAGGUUUUCGCCUACAUGUUGGCUUAGGCGAAAACAGACUUGCUAAUUGAGGCCAAAAAACAAAGCAAAUGGUAAAAACCCACGGGAGCCAAUGAACUAAAACGGGAUGUUUCCAUAGUAGCAAGAUGUCACCCUAAGGCUGGGAUGGCAUUUCAUCUUCUUAGCGUGUGGUUUCUGCUUGCCUUUACUCUCUCAGCUUUCUUAUCUGUGGGAUAUGCCUUUUUAUAAUUUGUCCAAAUCCUUUCAAAGCUCACACGGGUCAGCCCAGUGGAUAAUAGCUAAGGCUUUACGUAGAUGCACUCAAUACACUGAAAUUAAAAAUUGAGAUGUACCGCAUUUCCGUCUGUGAACCGAAACGCCUAUAGGAGAAAGACCUCCCCGUAAAGGGAAGCAGCUGCAGUCCAUCUGCCCCUUAGAAUGGGGUCGCUUUACAAGGAAACAUUCCUCGCA